AUGAACGCUAGCGGGAGGCCUAGCACAUGCAAGCCGAGCGGUAUUUGUUCUUCGGAACAGAGAGAGCGGCGCACGGGUGCGGAACACGUGUGCAACCUGCCUUUAUCUGGGGGAUAGCCUUUCGAAAGGAAGAUUAAUACCCCAUAAUAUAUUGAGUGGCAUCAUUUGAUAUUGAAAACUCCGGUGGAUAGAGAUGGGCACGCGCAAGAUUAGAUAGUUGGUGAGGUAACGGCUCACCAAGUCAAUGAUCUUUAGGGGGCCUGAGAGGGUGAUCCCCCACACUGGUACUGAGACACGGACCAGACUCCUACGGGAGGCAGCAGUGAGGAAUAUUGGACAAUGGGUUAGCGCCUGAUCCAGCCAUCCCGCGUGAAGGACGACGGCCCUAUGGGUUGUAAACUUCUUUUGUAUAGGGAUAAACCUACUCUCGUGAGAGUAGCUGAAGGUACUAUACGAAUAAGCACCGGCUAACUCCGUG
rnacentral:rRNA from 1 species